rnacentral:rRNA from 1 species
AACGAACGCUGGCGGCAUGCCUAACACAUGCAAGUCGAACGACAUCCUUCGGGGUCUAUUGGCUCACGGGUGCGUAACGCGUGGGAAUCUGCCCUUAGGUUCGUACUAACAGUUAGAAAUGACUGCUAAUACCGGAUGAUUACGUUAAGUCCAAAGAUUUAUCGCCUGAGGAUGAUCCCGCGUAGGAUUAUCUAGUUGGUGUGGUAAAGGCUCACCAAGGCGACGAUCCUUAGCUGGUCUGAGAGGAUGAUCAGCCACACUGGGACUGAGACACUGCACAGAAUCCUACGGGAGGGAGCAGUGGGGAAUAUUGGACAAUGGGCGCAAGGCUGAUCCAGCAAUGACGCGUGAGUGAUGAAGGCAUUAGGGUUGUAAAGCUCUUUUACCCGGGAUGAUAAUGACAGUACCGGGAGAAUAAGCCCCGGCUAACUCCGUG